rnacentral:tRNA from 1 species
GCCGGGGUGCCCGAGCGGACUAAGGGGCCGGCCUUGAGAGCCGGUGGGGGUCUCCCCGCGCGGGUUCGAAUCCCGCCCCCGGCG